rnacentral:rRNA from 1 species
GAUGAACGCUGGCGGCGUGCCUAAUACAUGCAAGUCGAGCGAACGGACGAGGAGCUUGCUUCUCUGAUGUUAGCGGCGGACGGGUGAGUAACACGUGGAUAACCUACCUAUAAGACUGGGAUAACUUCGGGAAACCGGAGCUAAUACCGGAUGAUAUUUUGAACCGCAUGGUUCAAAAGUGAAAGACGGUCUUGCUGUCACUUAUAGAUGGAUCCGCGCUGCAUUAGCUAGUUGGUAAGGUAACGGCUUACCAAGGCGACGAUGCAUAGCCGACCUGAGAGGGUGAUCGGCCACACGAGAACUGAGACACGGUCCAGACUCCUACGGGAGGCAGCAGUAGGGAAGCUUCCGCAAUGGGCGAAAUCCUGACGGAGCAACGCCGCGUGAGUGAUGAAGGUCUUCGGAUCGUAAAACUCUGUUAUUAGGGCAGAACAAAUGUGUAAGUAACUCUGCACGUCUUGACGGUACCUAAUCAGAAAGCCACGGCUAACUACGUG